rnacentral:lncRNA from 1 species
CAGGAACCAGUCAUAACCAAUUUCAAAGCCUUUGGCUUGGAAUGUCCUAAACACAUUGCACAAAGCUACUCUGCAUGGUUAUCUUUAAUCACGUCACAUAGGAACCAAUUAUGAUGUAGAAUGUUGCCACUCAAAGUGUGAUCUUUGGAGAAAAGCAUUAUCACCUACUGGAAACCUGUGAGAAAUGCAGAAUCUCCAUCCCCACCCCAGAAAUGCUGAAUCGGAUUCUGCGUUUAAUCAAGGACCUCAGGUGCCCAAAUGUGACCGACGCUGCCAUUCACAGUAAAAGGCCAAACAAGAUGGCCAGGCCCUUUGCCCUCAUUAAGAAUGUAAUCUAGAGCUGUAGUCCUCAAGCAUUUAUCAUCACAUACCCAUCAAUAAAAUUUGUUGAGUGUGCACCUCCAA